AAUAUACCUACCUUUUUCCAUCUAUUGUCCCCUUCCAUAAACCUGUCUAAUCUUCUCUUAAAGCUCUCUAACGCCCUAGCACUAACAACAUGAUUACUGAAUCCGUUCCACUCAUCUACCACUCUAUUUGAGAACCAAUUUUUUCCUAUCUCCUUCCUAAACCUAAAUUUUUCAAGCUUGGACCCGUUAUUUCUUGUUCUAUCCUGGUUGCUGAUCCUAAGAAUUUUGCUUACAUCCCUUAUGUUAUAACCCUUAUACCACCUAAAGACUUUUAUCAGGUCUCCUCUUAACCUACAUAUCUAUAAAGAAUGUAAAUUUAACAACUUCAAUCUCCCCUCGUAAGGAAUACUCCUCAUCCCCUGUAUCCUUUUAGUCAUUCUCCUCUGUACUGAUUCUAAUAGACCUAUAUCUUUCCAGUAAUGUGGUGACCAGAACUGCACAGCAUAGUCUAGAUGAGGUCUGACCAACGCCAAGUAUAAAUUUAAUAUUACUUCUGGCUUUCGACUUUUAACACUCCUAAAAAUUAAUCCUAGUACCCUAUUUGCCCUGUUUUUGGCCUCUAUGCAUUGUUUUCCUAGACAGAGUUCAGAGCUAGCUAUAACUCCUAAAUCUUUCUCGUACCCUGUACCUACCAGAGUUUCGUUGUUUAAUGUGUUCCUAUUGUGUGGGUUUCCUCUAUCUACACUAAGUACUUUGUAUUUAUUGAUAUUAAAUUGCAUUUGCCAUCUGUUCAUCCAUUCAUUCAUCCUAUCUAAAUCUGCCUGCAAGGCAAUGGCAUCUGAUUCUGACCUAAUUAAUCUACCUAUCUUUGUGACAUCUACAAAUUUACUAACAUCACUACUAAUUUCACUAUCCAAGUCAUUGAUAUAUAUUAGAAGUAGCAAUGGCCCUAAUACUGAUCCCUGUGGCACCCCACUAAUUACAUGACCCCACUUGGAUGUUGUGCUGUUUAUUACAACUCUGUCGCCUGUCACUAAGCCAUGAUCCUAUCCAGCCUAACACCUUCCCAUCCAUCCCCGUGUGCCCUAACCUUGUCAAAUGCUUUACUAAAGUCCAGAUAUGAGAUAUAACUAUCACCAUUAUCUGCUGCCUCGUACACUUUACUGUAAAAACUUAACAAGUUUGUCAGGCAAGACUUCCCCUUCGUGAAGCCAUGCUGUGACUGAUUUAUCAAGUUAUGUUUGUCUAAGUGUUCCCUAAUGUUCCACGCUAUUAUUGACUCUAAUAUUUUACCUACAACUGAGGUUAAGCUGACAGGUCUGUAGUUAGACGCUAAAGUUUUAUCUCCUUUCUUAAACAUGGGUACAACAUUAGCCUGCCUCCACGUUACUGAUACCGCACCUAACUCAAGUGAUUUCCUAAAGACAGAAACUAACAGCUCACUAAUAACCUCUUUGCAUUCCUUAAGUACUCUUGGAUAUAUCUCCCUAGUUAUGGAAAUAUCUAUCAGCUUCUCAUUUUCAUCUGCUCUAAACAUCUGUUCACUAUCUGGCAUAUCCUGCAUGUCUUCCUGGGUGAAAACAGUUAAAAAAUACUCAUUCAGAAUUUUACUAAUCUCCCCAGAACUAACCAACUCCCCAUCUGCUGCCUUUAAUGGACCUAUAGUAUCCUUAUUCUUCGUCCUGUAUACCUGAUAAAAUCCCUUGGGGUCCGUCUUUGCCUGGCUGGCUACCUUUAAUUCAUAAUUGCCCUUAGCUUUCCUCGUUAACUUCCUGACUGUUCUAAUUCAUUAUAUUGUGACCUUAAAACUUCUUCAUCUGCCCUUAAUCUCUUAUAUAUACUUCUCUUAUGCCCUAUAUAAUGAUUUAACCUAGCAGUCAUGCAUUUAGGAUAAUUUUUUUGUGAUCUUAUUGCCCUAUAAGGGAUAUUUGCUAACUGACCUGUAUAAACUUUAUGAAAUAUUUAUACAAUUCAUCUACCUUUACUUCACCUAAUCCCCUCAUCUCGUCCCCUACCAUCCUCUCCACUCCCUCAUCUACUCGCCUCGACCUCACCUCUCUCAUUUCAGCAUGACCUGACAUUCUAACAUACUCACACCUAUCUCCUCCUCCCUCUCUCCUCUGCCUCUUCUGGACACAUCUUCCCUCCUCUUGUCCUACACCCUCACACCUCACCUCACCUCUCUCAUCUUGCCUUAUCUCUCUCAACUCCAUCCUGGACCUGACCUCACCCUGCAUCCGUUGCCAAUCAACUCCUUGUAGGUACCUUUUUAAUUCCUCAAAAUCUGCUCUCCUGAAGUCAGGUAUUUUACUAGUGUUUUUUGCUUCUAAAAGUUUCUUCCCAUUUUAAAUUGUACCUAAUUUCCCUAUGGUCACUGUUACCUAGCUGUCCUCCAACCUCUACUUGCGUGACUGCUUCCUCCCUGUUAGUAAGAAAUAAAUCUAGAAUAUUGUUCCCCCUUGUGGGUUCUAUGACUACCUGUUUUAAAAAAUUAUCCUGAAUUACCUUAAGAAAUUCCUCUGCUUCCUUGUUACCCACCAUCAGACUCCAGUUGAUAUUCCUAAAAUUAAAAUCUUCUACCACACAUACCUGACUGUACCUGCCUGCUCUAUUUAUUUCCUGCCACAGUGAGGUGUUAAAUUUCCUUUGUACUGGUCGGUGGUCUGUACGCUACUCCCAGUACUAUUGACUGUGAUCCUUCCUUAAUAUCUACCCAUAUCAACUCUGCUUUAUUAUCUGUUUUAAUUCUACUGUUAAUAUGACACUGUAAUGUUUCCCUAGCGUUUAACGUGACACCUCCUCCUCUCCUGUUUUCCAUGUCUUUAUAGAACAAUGUAUAACCAUCUAUCUUAACCUCUGGAUUAAAUACUUUUCCUGACAUAUCUAACCAAGUUUCAGUUAAAGCAAUGGGCCACAUCCCUUCGGGUUACAUCUCAUACCUACUUGCUGCUAGGUGAAUAAGGGCUACACAUUAAGAGGCUCGCCCAAAGUAGAAGGCCUGAAGUAAUAUUAAAGUUAUAUUUGGCGCUGGUCAGACCUUAUCUAGACUACACUGUGCAGUUCUGUUCCCCACAUUACAGGAAAGAUAUAGGUCUAUUAGAAUCAGUAAAGAGGAGAAUAACUAAUACCCAACAUUCUUGACUUUUUCCUGACCUCUAAUCCUUCUGCUUAUGCUGUCACCCUCUCUUCUCCGUUGCACUCCUCCGAUCACAGUCUCAUAUCUGUAUCUUGUCCUAUUGCUCCAAUCCUUCCUAAGGAUCUCCCUAAGCAGAGGUGCCUCUGGCAUUUUGCCUCUGCCACUUGAGGGCACCUGAGGAGGCACUUCAUGGCAGACGCUUUGUCAACUUUACUUAAAAGUUAGAUAAUGAUAGAGAAUGGCACAUUUGGGAAUAACUGAUUAUUACCUUUCUGAGUCAUUUUGUGUGUUGUUAUGUGGAUCACUUAAGUCAUCUGACCAAUCAGAUUUAUUUUCUCCAUUUCCAUGUACUCUGACUGUGAAUUCUGUAAAUUCCAUAAAUUUUCAUGGCAAUUUAAUCAUUUUUACUGUUACCAGUACUUUUUCAGUCAUGUGAAGCUAAAGAGUGACUGGCAGAUAUUCAGGAUCAUCAAUGUACUGGAUAGGCUGACCUAAUGUUUGUCUAAUGGAUGUUGACCUCAUAUAACAUCUAGUGCCUAUUUUCUGCUUUUUAUUUCCUACUCACAAGGACAGCCUCUUUCUUAUGCUUAUGGUUGUGCACUAAAAGAGAGACCAAUUAAAACAAUUUGUUUAUAAACUUGGUCAGAGGACACAUUACACAGAGUUUCACAGUAUAAUAAAUCACACCUAUGUAACAGUGUUUAGCCGUCUUUUGGUGUUCCAUUUUGGUACUUCUGGUACAUAAAAAUUCCAUCAACUAUGAAGCUCAGAAACUAUAGCUUUCCAGGUGUAAUUCAUACUCUAGAUCUGUCUUUUGGCUACAAGGAUGCUCAGGGGAUUAGUGUUAUCAAUCUCAAUGAAUAUGCAACAAACAAGGGGCCCAUUUACAUUAUGUGAGUAUUUCUAAGAGACAGCAUGCCAAAUCACAUCCCUUACCAUACCUGCAUGUGGAUUGUAGCAUGGCCAAGAGUGGCAGAAUUCCCCAGAAAUGUUUCAUAGGCACCGAGGAGUGCAUCUACUGAUGAGGUAGCAACAAGUGAUUUGUAGUUUGCAGAUCUUCACUGGUGUCUUUGAUGGUCACAGACCAUCGGAGAAUAUCAAAGUACAUUUUUAGAUCCUCCUGUUGAUCAACCUGAACACCUCGUUACUUGACCUUUUUCUCGCAUGUAGUGCAGAUAUGCCAUGGGUACCUUUUUUUAUUUCUUUUGGGUUGCAGACUUUUCAGAGUAUUUUCUCACUGAAUUAAACAGUCCAAUGGUUUUGAACUAGUUCCACCUUUGCUGACCAUUAUUUACACUCUUGCCUGAGCAUCCAGCUACAAGACAAGAUCAUCUGCAAGAUUGAGGAUUGAAGUAAAUAAAUGUCAUAGAUGUCAUACAGUUUCAGUUAAAUAAAUGUAAUGAAAUUAUCUUAAGGUAUAUUUGCAUAUGUACUGUGGAUUGCUGUCUGGUGCAACCUCCCUUGGACAUGGGGUAUGUGUCCAGAUAUGGGCUCUUAGUUUCAGCUUUUAACUGUUGCCCAAAUCUUCUGGUAAUUUUCAACAAUAUUCUCAGUGAGGAAUUCCACUCACACUGGUGAGAGAAAUUAGAAAGUUGUGUAGUGAGGCUGAGGGGGAAGGGAAAGCAUGCAAUUAACAAGAUCAGAAGAGCAGUUAGUGUAAAAAUAGCAAGAGAUACAACAUGGGUGAUGAGAGAGGCUGAAACUGAAAUUAAAGGAGAGGAGUCCUUAAGAUGAAAUGUAUUUUAUUUCACUUUGUCUGGAAGAGCAGUGUGAGUGGAAUCAUCCCCCCCCACCUCCUACCUACAUGUGAAGCAUACUCCAUACAUGACAGAUAAGGUCCAGUAUUGAGCAGGCAUCUGGGGUUGUGGAAGGAAAAAAAAAAAAAAAAAAUGGUGGAGACAACUCAAAACUUCUAACUUCAUAGAAGCUAUUUUAGCUAGAGAUGAAAAGUGAAGUUUCCACCUUUGAUUAUUAGUAAAUGGCAAACCAAUAAUGUUCAUUGUUGAAGAGGAGCACAGUUAAGUGUUACUGAAGAAGAGGGGAUACUUAUGGAAUGUUUUGCCACGGGUUUGAGUUUUUGAAGCAAUGAAUAAUACUAAGUUUUCUCUGUCCCAAUCAUACACAGCUCUGUGGUGAAAGAGUGAUGAUCCAACAUGGCUACAGAAAAUUGCUACCGACUGUGGGCAUUCCCUAGAGAUGGUCACCAGGUAUUACAAGAUGGGUGAAAAGGUGGCUCCAGGGAAACAAGGAGUUGAAACCCAGACUCAUUUGAGGAAUAUGGAGGAAGAGAUGUACAAUCCACAGGAGGUGGUGUGUGGCUGAAGGAGUGUUGUGGUUGAAGGACACUCUCCUGAGAUUUAGUGGAUAUUCCAGUAUGACGUGAAAUUAUGAUGGCCAUAUAUAGUAAAACCUGAUGUACUGAUCAUGUAUUCAUCCUUUUCACAGCUCUCCAAAUAUCAUUGAGGAGGUUGAAAUAAAUGAACUGGAUGAUGAAGCCCACAUAUCAAGGGUGCUAGUGGCAGAGGAAUUUCUACAACCUGCAUAACCUGAUGACCAAGUUUCUGUCACAUUAAGAGAAUGUGGACUUGAUUGAAGGUCAGACUAGAUGGUGAGCACUUGCAGUAUCACUAGUCCUAUACAAAUCUACUAGAGGAGGAUAGGAAAGUUCACAGGAUGAUGUUAGUGGUACCCUACGCCUUCUUGGGACCAAUGGUGGAGGCAGCAGCGUUGGCCUUGAGCACGGCACCAGGUGAUGGGUACGGGCGCAUCUGGAAAAGUGGACCACUGGCUGUCACAUCAGCUCCAGUGCGUGCCUCAUUCUUCUGUGGCAAUCCAGAUGACCAUGUGCCUCUGUGGGGAAUAGGACCAUCAACAUUAUUACACUGCCACCUAUAUAACUAAUCACUGCUAUCACUAUAACCCUUGUCACAACCACCAUUAUCUCUUAGGAACAUCAAUAUUAUUACAUUACCACCUGUAUGACUAAUCCCUACCACUAUAAUCCUUAUCACAACCAUCAUUAUCACCACUGUUAAUGUCAUGACUACCAUUUUCACCAUCUUUAUGAACAUCUUCACUUGUAUCCAGUCCUAAAGUGUGCAGCAGUGUCCAUGUGUUACCUUCAUCACAAAAACAUAUAUGUUUAACUGAUUCAGAGGUUUCAGUAAGGCUUAUUAUUAUGUUCUCACUUUGUUUUGUGGCAAGAUAAGUUGAACCUGCCAAUAAAAAAUUAAUGAUGUAUGGGUUAA